GGCGACGAUCCCUAGCUGGUCUGAGAGGAUGACCAGCCACACUGGAACUGAGACACGGUCCAGACUCCUACGGGAGGCAGCAGUGGGGAAUAUUGCACAAUGGGCGCAAGCCUGAUGCAGCCAUGCCGCGUGUAUGAAGAAGGCCUUCGGGUUGUAAAGUACUUUCAGCGGGGAGGAAGGUGUUGAGGUUAAUAACCUCAGCAAUUGACGUUACCCGCAGAAGAAGCACCGGCUAACUCCGUGCCAGCAGCCGCGGUAAUACGGAGGGUGCAAGCGUUAAUCGGAAUUACUGGGCGUAAAGCGCACGCAGGCGGUCUGUCAAGUCGGAUGUGAAAUCCCCGGGCUCAACCUGGGAACUGCAUUCGAAACUGGCAGGCUAGAGUCUUGUAGAGGGGGGUAGAAUUCCAGGUGUAGCGGUGA
rnacentral:rRNA from 4 species